rnacentral:rRNA from 1 species
UAGCAAUAUCUGGCGGCGACCGGCGGAAGGGUGCGUAACGCGUGAGCAACUUGCCGUAUCUGGGGGAUAGUCAUUGGAAACGAUGCGUAAUACCCCAUAACAACAGAGGCUGCAUGACCUUUGUUUGAAAGCUUCGGUGGAUACGGAUAGGCUCGCGAGACAUUAGCUAGUUGGAGUGGUAACGGCACACCAAGGCGACGAUGUCUAGGGGUUCUGAGAGGAAGGUCCCCCCACAUUGGAACUGAGACACGGUCCAAACUCCUACGGGAGGCAGCAGUGAGGAAUAUUGGUCAAUGGCCGGAAGGCUGAACCAGCCAUGCCGCGUGCAGGAAUAAGGCCCCCUAUGGGUCGUAAACUGCUUUUGUGGUGGAGCAAUAAGACGUACGUGUACGUCGAUGAGAGUACAUCACGAAUAAGCAUCGGCUAACUCCGUGCCAGCAGCCGC